GACGAACGCUGGCGGCAUGCCUAAUACAUGCAAGUCGAACGCUGAAGCACUCUGCUUGCAGAGUGCGGAUGAGUGGCGAACGGGUGAGUAACACGUGGGAAAUCUGCCUAUAAGAGGGGGAUAACAUUCGGAAACGGAUGCUAAUACCGCAUAUAUUCUUGGACCGCCUGGUCCUUGAAAGAAAGACGGCUUUGCUGUCGCUUAUAGAUGAUCCCGCGGCGUAUUAGUUAGUUGGUGGGGUAAAGGCCUACCAAGACAAUGAUACGUAGCCGACCUGAGAGGGUGAUCGGCCACACUGGGGCUGAGACACGGCCCAGAAUCCUACGGGAGGCAGCAGUAGGGAAUCUUCCACAAUGGGCGAAAGCCUGAUGGAGCAAUGCCGCGUGAAUGAAGAAGGUCUUCGGAUCGUAAAGUUCUGUUAUUAGAGAAGAACAAGUCAAGGAGUAACUGUCUUGACUUUGACGGUACCUAACCAGAAAGUCACGGCUAACUACGUG
rnacentral:rRNA from 1 species